rnacentral:sRNA from 1 species
ACGUGAGGGCGCUGUGCCUGCCACGGCUGUCACCCCCUUGAUCGCCAGGGAUGACUCGGCCCCUGUGGCUGGUGAGGCGGGUGUCCGCUUCCCUUACCGCU